rnacentral:rRNA from 1 species
CUACGGGUGGCUCCAGUGGGGAAUAUUGCACAAUGGGCGCAAGCCUGAUGCAGCCAUGCCGCGUGUAUGAAGAAGGCCUUCGGGUUGUAAAGUACUUUCAGCGGGGAGGAAGGGAGUAAAGUUAAUACCUUUGCUCAUUGACGUUACCCGCAGAAGAAGCACCGGCCAACUCCGUGCCAGCAGCCGCGGUAAUACGGAGGGUGCAAGCGUUAAUCGGAAUUACUAGGCGUAAAGCGCACGCAGGCGGUUUGUUAAGUCAGAUGUGAAAUCCCCGGGCUCAACCUGGGAACUGCAUCUGAUACUGGCAAGCUUGAGUCUCGUAGAGGGGGGUAGAAUUCCAGGUGUAGCGGUGAAAUGCGUAGAGAUCUGGAGGAAUACCGGUGGCGAAGGCGGCCCCCUGGACGAAGACUGACGCUCAGGUGCGAAAGCGUGGGGAGCAAACAGGAUUAGAUACCCGCGUAGUC